rnacentral:rRNA from 1 species
GGUUAUACGAGAGGCCCAAGUUGAUAGACUCCGGCGUAAAGAGUGGUUAAGACUCAUCUACAAAACUAAAGCCGAACGCCCUCAGGGCUGUUAUACGCUCCCGAAGGUAAGAAGUUCAAUCACGAAAGUGGCUUUAUAUCAGCUGAAUCCACGAAAGCUAUGACACAAACUGGGAU